AGGUGAGACAGAAAGAGAUAAGGCUCCUGUAGAGGGAGAGAUGGAAGGAGAGAGGUGAGACAGAAAGAGAUAAGGCUCCUGUAGAGGGAGAGAUGGAAGGAGAGAGGUGAGACAGAAAGAGAUAAGGCUCCUGUAGAGGGAGAGAUGGAAGGAGAGAGGUGAGACAGAAAGAGAUAAGGCUCCUGUAGAGGGAGAGAUGGAAGGAGAGAGGUGAGACCGAAAGAGAUAAGGCUCCUGUAGAGGGAGAGAUGGAAGUAGAGAGGUGAGACAGAAAGAGAUAAGGCUCCUGUAGAGGGAGAGAUGGAAGUAGAGAGGUGAGACAGAAAGAGAUAAGGCUCCUGUAGAGGGAGAGAUGGAAGUAGAGAGGUGAGACAGAAAGAGAUAAGGCUCCUGUAGAGGGAGAGAUGGAACGAGAGAGGUGAGACAGAAAGAGAUAAGGCUCCUGUAGAGGGAGAGAUGGAAGUAGAGAGGUGAGACAGAAAGAGAUAAGGCUCCUGUAGAGGGAGAGAUGGAAGUAGAGAGGUGAGACAGAAAGAGAUAAGGCUCCUGUAGAGGGAGAGAUGGAAGUAGAGAGGUGAGACAGAAAGAGAUAAGGCUCCUGUAGAGGGAUAGAUGGAAGUAGAGAGGUGAGACAGAAAGAGAUAAGGCUCCUGUAGAGGGAGAGAUGGAAGGAGAGAGGUGAGACAGAAAGAGAUAAGGCUCCUGUAGAGGGAGAGAUGGAAGGAGAGAGGUGAGACAGAAAGAGAUAAGGCUCCUGUAGAGGGAGAGAGACAGAGAGAGAUUGAGAGAAAAAGCUCCUGUAGAGAAAGUAGUGCUGAGCAAUUAGAUCUUUCUUUUUUUAAACAACUAAUUGAACUACCUCGGUUCAAUUAUUUGAAUUCCAUUUUGUUCUGUUUCUCUAGAGAUAAAUCAGAUUAAGCCCAAACUGUGCGAUGUAGUAGGGAGGCCAAUAUUCUACAUAGUUUAUUGCAGAAAUUAAAUAAUAAAUUCAUCAAAUAAAAGACAUGUAAUAUACACAGCAACUGAAAUAUGUUAUUAAAGAAAAAUAAUGUGAAUAAAUGAUGGUUAAUAGGCAGAAAUGGGCAUCACUACCAUUAUGAGACUUUUGGUUGUAUUCUGUGUUGUUAGAGCAUUCAACACACAUAAUGCACAGUGCAUUUAAUGGUAAAAAAUAUUAGCGAAACCAAAAACCAUGAUAACUUUUGGAAUAAUUGAACCAAAAGCACUAAGACAGAGAGAGAGAGAAAGAGAAGAGAGAGAGACAGAGAGAGAGAAAGAGAGGAGAGAGAGAGACAGAGAGAGAGAGAGAGAGAGAGAGACUCCUGUGUGGAGGUAGGUUAUGGCG